GUCAUAGAGGAGCUUACUUUUUCCUAAUCCUAUUAUUUAAGUUCAUUGUCCUACUUGUCAAGCUUUGUUUGAGAUUUAUUUAUGACAAGUAGGACUGGAUUUUAUUGGUAGGAUUAGAAAAAGGUAUGUUUCCUCUAUGGCUGGUCUUCUAAAAGCAUAUCAAGGUAGCAACUGGUGUAUAAAGUGUGGUGACAUUGAUUUUCAACCACAAACUACUCCAGAAAAGUGUUGAGGUGCAUAACUGUUACCUAGAUAUACCUUCAGAAGACCUGUCACAGAGGAGCUUACUUUUUCCUAAUCCUAUUAUUUAAGUUCAUUGUCCUACUUGUCAAGCUAUGGUUGAGAUUUAUGGCAAGUAGGACUGUGGGUUUGAUUGGUGGGAUUAGAAAAAGGUAUGUUUCCUCUAUGGGUGGUCUUCUAAAAGCAUAUCAAGGUAGCAACUGGAGUAUAAAAAGUAGUGGCAUUGAUUUUCAACUACAAACUACUCUAGAAAAGUGAAAAGUGUUGAGGUGCAUAAUUGUUACCUAGAUAUACCUUCGGACGAUCAGUCACAGAGGAGCUUACUUUUUCCUAAUCCUAUUAUUUAUGUUCAUUGUCCGACUUGUCAAGCUCUGGUUGAGAUCUAUGGCAAGUAGGAUUGUGGAUUUGAUUGGUGGGAUUAGAAAAAGGUAUGCUUCCUCUGUGGAAGGUCUUCUAAAAGCAUAUCAAGGUAGCAACUGGGGUGGCGGUAUUGAUGUGCAACCACAAACUAUACUCUCCAGGAAAGCGUUGAUGUGCAUACUAAUCAGAACAAGAAUAUUGAUGUUCAUAUCGUUCCAUGAGCAUGUCAGCUUGGGUAAACAAACUAUACGUUUUGGAAGCUCAAGAAUAAAGAAAGAAUUUUGCUGCCAAAGAAGUAGUUUUUUUUUCUUAAUUUCCCAUCUGGUGUUUGAUGUAGCAAAAGAAGUAGUUACAACAUAGAAAGAACUUGUCAUCUCAUAUUUUCCAAUUUUGAAAUUGAAUCACGUUUUGUAUUUAAGAGCUACUGCCAUUAUUCAAUAUUCAAUAUCUUCAUCAUUUAUAAACUUCACAUAAUAAAUAUUUUUUUUUGGAAACGGC
rnacentral:lncRNA from 1 species